rnacentral:lncRNA from 1 species
UCAGAGUAAUGAAACAGUGCCAAGGUUUUGUUACAUGCCCACCUCUACUCCUGGUCUUGGCAUCAUGUUCAAUGUGGAUUAUAAAUCAUUUUUUCUUGUGUUCAGUCGUUAAUUCCUCUUUAACCAUUUUUCAGUGUUUUUUUACAUCUGCUGUUUUUCAAAGUUUUUUUCAGUGUUUGGUUACAAAUGGAGCGAAAGUUUUUACAAUAUUUUGUUAAAACUGCAUUAUAGCCAGUUUUCAGUGUCUAGUUAUAACUGCCUAUUCAUCAAGGUUUUUUCAGUGCUUGCUUACAAAGUUUUUUCAGUAUUUGCAGCAAUGUUUUUCAGUGUAUGUUUGCUUAGUUUUUUAGUGUUUGCUUAACUUUGCUGCCAAAGUUUUUUCAGUGUUAGCUGCCAAAGUUUUUUCAGUGUUAGCUGCCAAAUUUUUUUCAGUGUUUGUCUGCUAAGUUUUUGACAGUGUUUGCUGCAAUUUUUUAAAAUGUGUUUGCUGUCAAAGUUUUUUCAGUGAUUGCUGUCAAAGUUUUUUCAGCAUUUGCUGCCAGUUUUUUUCAGUGUUUGCUGCCAAAGUUUUUUCAGUGAUUGCUGUCAAAGUUUUUCAGUGAUUGCUGUCAAAAAUUUUUAGCGUUUGCUGCCAAGGUUUUUUCAGUUUUUGCUACCAAACUUUUGUCAGUGUUUGCUUCAAAAGUUUUAUCAGUGUUUGCUUCCAUACUUUUUCAGUGUCUCCUGUCAAAGUUUUUGCAGUGUUUGCUUACAUAGUUUUGCCAUUUUUUUUUUUUUUUUAGCAAACUGACGUUUUUUCAGUAUUUGCCGCUUAAGUUUUUUCAAUGUUUGCUCCUAAAGUAUUUUUAGUGUUAGCUGCCAAAGUUUUUUCAUUAUUUGCUUACAAAGUUUUUUAGUUUUUUGCUGAUUAAGUUUCUUCUGUGUUAUGUACACAGUAUUUUCAGUAUUUGCUGCCAAAGUUUUUUCAGUGUUUGCAUACAAAGUUUUUUCAGUGUUUGCAUACAAAGUUUUUUCAGUGUUUGCAUACAAAGUUUUUUUCAGUGUCUCCUGCCAAAGUUUUUUCAGUGUUUGCUUACAAAGUUUUUUUAGUUUGGGCUGCCAAGGUUUCUUUCAAAGUUUGCUUACAAUUGCCAUUUCAGUCCAGUUUUACAGUAUUUGGUAACAAGUACCUUUCUCGACUAAGUGUUCAGCUUUUUAGUUAUGAUUCCCUUUUCAGUGAAGUUUUCAGUUGGUUACCCCAGCUUCUCAGUUAUUUUUCAAUUUUAUAUUACAAUCCAAGUAAAGGAAGCCACAAGACUUCAAGUAUGAAAGUUUUAUCAAUAGCUAUAUAUUUUUUAAGUGUUGUGUCAAGUUUUAAAUUUGAACUAUAUAAACCACAGUGAUGAUUUGCAAGUGCAUUAUAUUGAAAGUCAAAGUUUGAAAAAAAGUAAAAGGCCACUUAAGGAUUAUAUAUAUAACCAUGCAUGUGUAGACUCAGACACAACAGCCUAAGACAGAUGGUAUUUAUGACUGGUCUUUAUACAUUUAUACAUUCAUUAUUAUAACUUAGAUCUAGCCAAGAGCAACCAUUAAAAAUCUCUAGAUAUAGUAUACUUCUGCAAAGCCUAUGGGCACUGAAUUCUUAUGUGAAAACAUAAUUGUGUUG